UCGGUUUGGAUUUCCCUCUCCUCCUCCCUGGGAAAUCCGAUCGCGGUUCGCUCCUCCUCCUCCCUGAGCGGACCGCACCCUGAAGAAACGGCGGCACCUCUUCCUCCUCCCUGAGGUGUCGCCGUCC
rnacentral:sRNA from 1 species